rnacentral:rRNA from 1 species
AACGAACGCUGGCGGCAGGCUUAACACAUGCAAGUCGAGCGCACCGCAAGGGGAGCGGCAGACGGGUGAGUAACGCGUGGGAAACUACCAAUCCCUACGGAAUAACGCAUGGAAACGGGUGCUAAUACCGUAUACGUCCUUCGGGGAAAAGAUUUAUCGGAGAUGGAUGAGCCCGCGUUGGACUUGCUAGUUGGUGGGGUAAAGGCCUACCAAGGCGACGAUCCAUAGCUGGUCUGAGAGGAUGAUCAGCCACACUGGGACUGGGACACGGCCCAGACUCCUACGGGAGGCAGCAGUGGGGAAUAUUGGACAAUGGGCGCAAGCCUGAUCCAGCCAUGCCGCGUGAGUGAUGAAGGCCCUAGGGUUGUAAAGCUCUUUCACCAGUGAAGAUAAUGACGGUAACCGGAGAAGAAGCCCCGGCUAACUUCGUGCCAGCAGCCGCGGUAAGAC